rnacentral:rRNA from 1 species
UACGGAGGGUGCAAGCGUUGUCCGGAAUCACUGGGCGUAAAGGGCGCGUAGGCGGCUCAUGAAGGCUGUGGUGAAAGUCCGGGGCUCAACCUCGGAUCGGCCGUGGCGACUCGUGGGCUGGAGCACUGUAGAGGCGGGUGGAAUUCCGGGUGUAGCGGUGGAAUGCGUAGAGAUCCGGAAGAACACCAGUGGCGAAGGCGGCCCGCUGGGCAGUGGCGUGACGCUGAGGCGGCGACAGCGUGGGGAGCAAACGAG